rnacentral:rRNA from 1 species
GUUACAUUAACGCUUGUUGUGUUUGUCAGAGUAAUAUUGUGAGAUAACGGCAAAGACAACUUUUAACAAUGGAUCUCUUGGCUCUUGCAACGAUGAAGAACGCAGUAAAGUGCGAAAUGUAGUGCGAUUUGCAUGAAUCUGUGAGUCAUCUAAUCUUUGAACGCAACUUGCGCCUCUUUUGAGGCAUGUCUGUUUGAGUACCGCAAAUCAUCUGCAGCAAUGCGAUUUGGUCGAUGAUGUCAGGUCUCGACUGGAAUGUAGUGUAGUAAAGGGUAUCAAUUUCCCUGGCCGUGUGCUAGAGACGCAAGUCUUGUCACGGUUUGGGUUGAGAUGCUUUUGGUAGAGAAUGUGGGGGGGGGGAAUUUCCAUCUCCAUCUCCAUCUCUAUCUCUCUUUCUUUGGUCUCAAAUCAGGCAAGACUACCCGCUGAACUUAAGCAUAUCAGUAAGCGGAGGAAAAGAAACUAACAAGGAUUCCCCUAGUAACGGCGAGUGAAGCGGGAAAAGCUCAAAUUUAGAAUCUCGACAGUCUCUGUCGCGAAUUGUAGUCUAAAGAGGGUGAUCUAGGUGAGGAAGGUUGACCAAGUCUCUUGGAAUAGAGCACCAGAGAGGGUGAGAGUCCCGUAAAGUCAAUCUGAAUUGCUCAAGUGAGAACCUUUCUACGAGUCGAGUUGUUUGGGAA